AUACGACCAUAGGCAAAGUCGAUCAUCGGGUCCCGUUCGAUCCCCAGCUAUUAAACCUUUGACCGGCAGGCUAGUAGUCAGGUGGGUGACCACUGGCGAAUCCCCGCUGUCGUAU